GACGAACGCUGGCGGCGUGCCUAACACAUGCAAGUCGAGCGAAUGAAGUUCCUUCGGGAAUGGAUUUAGCGGCGGACGGGUGAGUAACACGUGGGCAACCUGCCUCAUAGAGGGGAAUAGCCUCCUGAAAGGGAGAUUAAUACCGCAUAAGAUUGUAGUACCGCAUGAUACAGCAAUUAAAGGAGCAAUCCGCUAUGAGAUGGGCCCGCGGCGCAUUAGCUAGUUGGUGAGGUAAUGGCUCACCAAGGCGACGAUGCGUAGCCGACCUGAGAGGGUGAUCGGCCACAUUGGGACUGAGACACGGCCCAGACUCCUACGGGAGGCAGCAGUGGGGAAUAUUGCACAAUGGGGGAAACCCUGAUGCAGCAACGCCGCGUGAGUGAUGACGGCCUUCGGGUUGUAAAGCUCUGUCUUCAGGGACGAUAAUGACGGUACCUGAGGAGGAAGCCACGGCUAACUACGUG
rnacentral:rRNA from 1 species